rnacentral:rRNA from 1 species
UACGUAGGGGGCAAGCGUUAUCCGGAAUUACUGGGCGUAAAGCGCACGCAGGCGGCUCGCCAAGUUUGGAGUGACAGUUGUCGGCUCAACCGACAAAGGACUUCAAAAACUGGUGAACUUGAGGACGAGAGAGGAACAUGGAACUCCAGGUGUAGUAGUGAAAUGCGUAGAUAUCUGGAAGAACACCAAUGGCGAAGGCAAUGUUCUGGCUCGUUUCUGACGCUCAGGUGCGAAAGCCAGGGGAGCGAACGGG